rnacentral:rRNA from 1 species
GAUGAACGCUAGCUACAGGCUUAACACAUGCAAGUCGAGGGGCAGCAUGGAAGAAGCUUGCUUCUUCUGAUGGCGACCGACGCACGGGUGCGUAACGCGUAUCAAACCUGCCUCAUACUCGGGGAUAGCCUUGCGAAAGUAAGAUUAAUACCCGAUGUUGUUAUGUUACCGCAUGGUGAUAUAACCAAAGAUUUAUCGGUAUGAGAUGGUGAUGCGUCCGAUUAGGUAGUAGGCGGGGUAACGGCCCACCUAGCCUUCGAUCGGUAGGGGUUCUGAGAGGAAGGUCCCCCACACUGGAACUGAGACACGGUCCAGACUCCUACGGGAGGCAGCAGUGAGGAAUAUUGGUCAAUGGACGGAAGUCUGAACCAGCCAAGUAGCGUGCAGGAUGACGGCCCUCUGGGUUGUAAACUGCUUUUAGUUGGGAAUAAAAAAGAGGACGUGUCCUCUAUUGUAUGUACCUUCAGAAAAAGGACCGGCUAAUUCCGUGCCAGCAGCCGCGGUAAUACGGAAGGUCCAGGCGUUAUCCGGAUUUAUUGGGUUUAAAGGGAGCGUAGGCGGAUUAUUAAGUCAGUGGUGAAAGACGGUGGCUCAACCAUCGUUAGCCAUUGAAACUGGUAGUCUUGAGUGCAGACAGGGAUGCUGGAACUCGUGGUGUAGCGGUGAAAUGCUUAGAUAUCACGAUGAACUCCGAUCGCGAAGGCAGGUGUCCGGGCUGCAACUGACGCUGAGGCUCGAAAGUGUGGGUAUCAAACAGG